rnacentral:lncRNA from 1 species
GUAUGCAUCACGGAAAAUAUUUCCGCAACGAAAAUGUAUAAACACGACGUUAACAGAUAUGACGCAUUUGUUCAACAAGACAUUAAUCUCUCGGUGAACAGUCGGUCUAUUUUUAAUCGAGCACUUCAUCAUUUCCGCGACGAUUUCACUUUUCUCAACGAUAACAAGGGUGUCACCACAGGCGAGAGUCGGACCACAGGCCCAAGCCACAGUCCCACCACAGGCUAGGCGAGAGUCGGACCACAGGCCCAAGCGACAGUCCCACCACAGGCCCAACUGAGAGUCACAGCACAGGCUCGGGAAAGAGUCGUACCUCAGUCCCAGGUGGGAGUCGCAGAUCCAUCGCGUAUACUGGUGCCAUGUCAGCCGAAAUAAAGACACCUUCUAACAAUA